UUUACAAUGGAGAGUUUGAUCCUGGCUCAGGAUGAACGCUAGCGGCAGGCCUAAUACCUGCAAGUCGAACGGUAGAGAAGCUUUCGGGUUUCUUGAGAGUGGCGCACGGGUGCGUAACACGUAUGC
rnacentral:rRNA from 1 species